GUUCAGCUGAAGAGUCCAAAAUAGGACGAAAUGCGCGUCCCGAAC
rnacentral:hammerhead_ribozyme from 1 species